rnacentral:rRNA from 1 species
UACGUAGGGGGCAAGCGUUGUCCGGAUUUAUUGGGCGUAAAGAGCGUGUAGGCGGUCAGGUAGGUCCGUUGUGAAAACUCGAGGCUCAACCUCGAGACGCCGAUGGAAACCAUCUGACUAGAGUCCGGAAGAGGAGAGUGGAAUUCCUGGUGUAGCGGUGAAAUGCGCAGAUAUCAGGAAGAACACCCGUGGCUAAGGCGGCUCCUCUAGUACGGUACUGACGCUGAGACGCGAAAGCGUGGGGAGCGAACAGGAUAG